rnacentral:rRNA from 1 species
AAUCAACGCUGGCGGCGUGCCUCAGACAUGCAAGUCGAACGCGAAAGGUUCCUUCGGGAACCGAGUAGAGUGGCGCACGGGUGAGUAACACGUAGGUAAUUUGCCUUUGGGUGGGGAAUAACAGCCGGAAACGGCUGCUAAUACCGCAUAAUGCAGCGGCUCGACAUCGAGACAGUUGUUAAAGCGGGGGAUCGCAAGACCUCGCGCCUAAAGAGAAGCCUGCGGCAGAUUAGCUAGUUGGUAGGGUAAUGGCCUACCAAGGCGACGAUCUGUAACCGGCCUGAGAGGGCGGUCGGUCACACUGACACUGACAUACGGGUCAGACUCCUACGGGAGGCAGCAGUCGGGAAUUUUGGGCAAUGGGCGAAAGCCUGACCCAGCAACGCCGCGUGAAGGGUGAAAUCCC